AUGCAAAUAUUUCAAAACAAACCAGUGAAAGCCAGUCCAGUACUGGUGGCAGGACCAUUUGCAAUCCAUACUUACCCACAGUGUUCUGUUGCUUCCAGUUCCGGUGGUGAGGAGUCCUUUCCAAAUAUCAGAGGAAUAAAGAAGUCACUUCCCCAGCUGUCAUCAUCUGCCUACACAUUGAGCAAGAAUAUUUCAAGCACUAUAGAAAAGACAGUCCUUCGAACCCUAGAAGAUGAUCAGCCAUCUGAUUUUUUCAAGACAGGGAAUAGGGUGAUGAAAUCUCAUCAGAAAAGCACGUUGACGGUUUAUUUUAACCAGGAUUCUUGCGAUUGGAUCAGAGCUGCUGAGGACCAGCAGGGGCUCACUAGAGAACAUAAGCACAAUUUCAUCCCCACGAUUUCUGAUACCCACCCCAACACAGCCUCAUGUUCUAAAUGCUGCAGACAAGAAUCCUGCCGUGUCCCGCAGACGGCGCCCGAGAGUGGAGUCCUGGCCUGCUGUAGUUGGUCACGUCCAAGCCACCCAGUGUCCUGCCAGUCUGGGGACAUGUCACUGUCUUCAGAGAAGUGCCUCUCAUCUCUGGGAGUUGUUGACCUACAUGUUGUGUUUAAACCAACUUAA
ensembl:lncRNA family with sequence similarity 217 member B